UGAAGCCAGUCGAAGAUACCAGCUGGCUGCAACUGUUUAUUAAAAACACAGCACUGUGCAAACACGAAAGUGGACGUAUACGGUGUGACGCCUGCCCGGUGCUGGAAGGUUAAUUGAUGGGGUCAGCGUAAGCGAAGCUCCUGAUCGAAGCCCCAGUAAACGGCGGCCGUAACUAUAACGGUCCUAAGGUAGCGAAAUUCCUUGUCGGGUAAGUUCCGACCUGCACGAAUGGCGUAAUGAUGGCCAGGCUG
rnacentral:rRNA from 1 species